CUUAGAGGGAGUGUUUGGCUCCUGGCUCUCACGGGUACAGGUACAGGGUUCGAUUCUGGAGAAGGAGCCUGAGAACGGCUACUACAUCUACGGAAGGCAGCAGGCGCGUAAUUACCCAUUUUUUCUACCCAGGGAGGUGGUGACAAGAUAUAACGACGCGGUUAUUAUCGCGAUUGUAGUGAGUGUAUUCUAAACAGAACCUAUAGUACGAUUAGAGGGCAAGUCUGGUGCCAGCAGCCGCGGUAAUUCCAGCUCUAAUAGCGUAUAUUAAAGUUGCUGCAGUUAAAAAGCUCGUAGUUGGAUUUCAAGGAUUGUAGAACCUCCACGGGGAUAUAUUCUUAUUUGUCUUCGGACCGUUACUGUGAGAAAAUUAGAGUGUUUAAAGCAGCUCAUGCAGAUACAUUAGCAUGGAAUAACGAAUGAGUCUAGAAUCUUGGUUAAUUCAGGGGCUCGAGUAGAGAGACAGAUGGGGGCAGCAGAUAAUGCAGAGGUGAAUUCUUGGAUUUGUCAACGACUUAUCUUAUUGCGAAGCAUUGCAAGGAUGUUUCAUUAUCAGACCGCAACGCACACGCGCGCAUCAAGACAUCAGAUACUGUCGUAGUCCUAUCUAUAACUAUGCGACUAGGAUUGAUGGUAUUUACCAUUUCAGUACCUUAUGAAAAUCAAGUCUUUGGGUUCUGGGGGGAGUAUGUCCCAGACUGAACUUACGAUUGACGAGACCACAGAUGGACUGCGCUAUUGACCAACGGACUACAGUCGACAUGAGAUGACAAUGAGCCUUUGAUCUUGGGGGGGCAUGGCCGUCUAUUGGGAGAUUUCUGGUAUUCGAUACCACAGACCUACGUUAUAUUGG
rnacentral:rRNA from 1 species